AUUGAACGCUGGCGGCAGGCCUAACACAUGCAAGUCGAGCGGAUGACGGGAGCUUGCUCCCGGAUUCAGCGGCGGACGGGUGAGUAAUGCCUAGGAAUCUGCCUGGUAGUGGGGGACAACGUUUCGAAAGGAACGCUAAUACCGCAUACGUCCUACGGGAGAUAGCAGGGGACCUUCGGGCCUUGCGCUAUCAGAUGAGCCUAGGUCGGAUUAGCUAGAUGGUGAGGGAAUGGCUCACCAAGGCGACGAUCCGUAACUGGUCUGAGAGGAGGAUCAGUCACACGGGAACUGAGACACGGUCCAGACUCCUACGGGAGGCAGCAGUGGGGAAUAUUGGACAAUGGGCGAAAGCCUGAUCCAGCCAUGCCGCGUGUGUGAAGAAGGUCUUCGGAUUGUAAAGCACUUUAAGUUGGGAGGAAGGGCAGUAAGCGAAUACCUUGCUGUUUUGACGUUACCGACAGAAUAAGCACCGGCUAACUCUGUGCCAGCCGCCGCGGUAAUAC
rnacentral:rRNA from 1 species